rnacentral:snoRNA from 1 species
GUUUAUGAUGAGAACAAGUCCUUAGUGACAAUGCUAUAAACCCAGCUCUUCGAUUUAAUUACGUGAGAAGAGAAAAUGACAAACGCUCUGAGCAGAAC